rnacentral:rRNA from 1 species
AUCUUCAUCUGCAUCAGCAUUCAGGCUUCAACAAUGUCAUCUGAUCUGGGAAGCUAAGCAGGGUCAGGCCUGGAUAGUACUUGGAUGGGAGCCUGUGUGGAAAUAAUCAGGUGCUGGAGGUU